ensembl:lncRNA
GGACUAGCUUUCAUUGGCUACAGCCACCACAUCAAAUAUCAGUAAAACAUGAGAACAAGAACCACAUGAAGGGAGAGAGCACCAACCUCGGGGAGCCUCUUAACACUUAAGAAGCCUCUUGGUAGAACUGAAGCCUCCAGAAUAAAAAACAAGCACCGUUGUUCUCUAUGGUCUAAAUCACUUCAAAAGAGAUUAAGGAGCCCCAAAAAGAUAAAACUCAGCUUAGAUGUGCACCCACCCACUUCCUUGCUAGCAUCUUCCACGGCAUGGCAGGAACCAGGCCCCACUAAGCAGGGGGCAAGGAGAGGCUGGGGCGGAGGGAGCUGAAGCGAGGCAGAGAAGACCCCCGCCGCCCUCCGUGCACCCCUACCAUUUGCAGACUCGGACUCAGAUAGUGAGCCCAGAGGUGGCACCGCGCUCGAUGCUGUGGAGGCCAGACGGCUGGAUCACUCGACUCUGCCACGCUCGGCUCCAGGACCCUGCAGUUUUCUGACUCAGAUCUCAGCGAGCACCACUGACAUCUGUUACCCCUGAAGAGAUGUGAUAUGGGGCCUAAUGGAUUUUCUGUGUGUUCCUUUCUGACCCUGGAGAGACCUCCCAGGAAGACCAAAUAUGUCUAUCAGAGGGGUCAGGCCCCUCGCAGGGAAAAUGCGAUCCAACACCACUGCAGUCUCUGGCUGCAGAGAGUGAAAGGAAAGGACCAGAAGAAACAAAGCAAGCCCAGCCCGGGGAGAGCAGGCCCCCGCGGGCUCCACUGCUGCGCAGGCGCGAAUGGCAGCAAGCCGCGUGCGACCAGCUUGCAUCAAGAGCGCGUUUCAAUCCCUUACACUUGGCAUUCAAGAACAUUUUGUCAACGUCAUAGAGUUGCAAGGAAAGCUGAUGUUUAGAAGGACCUACCCUGGGCCAGGAAUCAUACCAGACUCUUUCCUGUAAUUCAAGUCACUAAACUCACAAUGGCAACCCACUCCAGUACUCUUGCCUGAAAAGUCCCAUGGACAGAGGAGCCUGGGACCACCUAGUCCAGCACCGGCCCAGAUGACUUCUCCUCCUGGUUCCACGGUGGGAAGGCACGGCCAGGAACCACAGCCAAGCUAGAAAUAGCAUCUGGGUUGCUGGGUUCCAGCAUCCAUGCCGGAUCUGUGAGUCAGCCUGUCAACAGCACUGAUAAGGUGCGCACCGAGCCUUGCUAGGCCCAGGCAGAGUGACCCAGGACGGAGGACACCCUGUCCCCACCAGGCCUGGAAGCAUCUGACCGGGACUCUCCAGAAC